rnacentral:piRNA from 1 species
UGAAAAUGACAUAAUUGCAUUUUC